GAAGAGAGAAAUUACAGAUUUCAUGUUGUUUGAUGAUUAAGCCUAAUGCAGCUUUUUGUUCAGUAGCAUCGUGCUUUCUUUUGUUUUACUGCCUCCUUUUCAAGAAGUUGCCCAGAAAUACCAUGUACCUGAAGGUAGACCGCUCACCACCGAUUGUCCCUGUACCACUAACCAAAGAGGAGGGGGGAGACCAGCAGCAGAACGAGUAUCUGCUGAGCACCACAGAAAAUGCAGAAAAUACUGCAGACCAUCAGUUCAUUAGACUUUUCUAAUUUUUUACCACUCUACUUUCCUCAAAUAUUACAUCCUUUUUGCCUAUCAAUCAGUCUUCAACAUCGUCAUCAUCACAUCCCUUACAUACCAAUCGCACAUGAUAUUAACACAUACACAUGUACACACAAAAACGUAUACCUUCCCCUCCCCACUUAUCUCUGCCUCUUUCUCUGGUGCAGAGCUAAUGUGCUGUGUCGGUCUAUUGAGAAAAGCCUGCAGCACUGUGCAGCACACUACAGUAUGAGCCUGUUCCAAUAUCACAGGAGCACACACUUACACUCUAUUGGGCUAUAUAGCCUUUUCAGUUUGAUACCCUCAACCACCACAUUAACUAGUGUCCACUGUUGACCAGACCGUGAUUCAUAUGUAAGGAGGAAAUUACUUAUUCUUGGUACUGCAAUCAAACAUGUUUUACAGCAAGCUGAGAGGGGUAACGUCGAAGCCAAAAAUAAUCUUUGUCAGUGGUCGUUAAUAAAACAUGUCAGUGUGGGAUUAGUUUUUGCUAUCUGCCUGGUUUUUCCAACGUGGUGAGGAAGGUUGUUGCUGUUACUUCCCUGACUCUCCAAAGGACGUAUUCACAGUCCCACAGUAGCUUGCCUGUGUAAGGGCAAGCCAGCUUCAUAGGUGGACUGGCCAUCUGGAGUAAUUGGCAAUGCCAUGUUGGCCAUCGCAAUUCACGGCUCAGGGCUGUUAUAACUUAAACCAAAAAAAUCAAAAUAUUUUUUGUUGACCUGAUUUUCUUGUAGGAUAGUUGGCUAAUCCAAUGAAAUCUCUUCUCCUCUCUCCUUUUACCAAAGUUACCAGAUUUUGCCAUUUAAACUGAGGGUUAAAAGUGACAUAAUUAAAUAAUUAAUGAAAUGUCAUUAAAAAUUUAAGGAAUUUAUUGUGUAUAUAUAAUUAAGUUGUAUAGUAUUCCAUUAAAUUAUUAAAAUUGAAAGUUAAAACACGUGCUAUGUAUUAAUAAUUAAAUGUGCAUUUAUUUGUUUCAUGGUUCCUGUUCCUGCAGUUCCACCAUGACUUAUUUUAUCUGUCAAACUCAUCCAUCAAAGUUGAGGGGCAGGGUUAAUUGAUGAAAAUGUUUAUUUAUUUUAAAUUAUUUUUAUUUUUAGUUAGCCAAAAUAAAGCCAAUUCUUUGAGGACUUUGAGACGGUUAUCCAUCCCUUCAGCUGGAUUACUGUAAUGGACUUAAAAGAAGAAAAGCAAAACUAGAGUUCUUAAUAAGUUCAUAAAGAAAGCUAGAGUCUGGAGGAUGCCAGGGAUGAAGGAAGACCCAAAGAGCGUCGGCCAAAGAAGCUUGGUGCCUGAAGAACUGCGGCGCCAGAAGAAGGGUCCUUAAGGUUUCCGUUGAGACCUGGGGAUGUCGUAAAGGCUCUGGAGCUGGGGAAGACGGCCCAUGUAGAGGAGCAGAGGACCACUUAGAGGCACCGAGGACACAUGUAGAGGCACUGAAUCAGGCACUGGAGACAGAUGUGGGUCGUCCUCGUCCCCCUCAGAGAAUGGAGACUAAGGUCCUCAGCCAAGCUCAGGAGGCUGGAGAUCACAGUGGAGCAAGCGGUGCAGAGAGGACAACAGAAUCGGGAAAGCAGAGAUCUGAGAUGAUUGAUGAUGGAAGGUGAGGAGCCCAUUUGUGUAGCACAAAAUUGCAGUGGGGUGGAAUCUGACUUGGAGUGGAGGUACUCUUUAAUAGUCGGUAAAAGUUAAUAAAAAUCUCUUCCGAAAAGGGAUCUGCUGGGUCCUGUGGGCUUGUUUCUUCUUGAGUGGUUGAGUGGUUUAUUGGUGGACCCAAAUACAGAUAGGCUGAGAUAUCAAGUAGAUGAUGCAGGUUUUAAUGAAAAAAAGAUGGUGAAACAACAAAACUUAUAGCCAUCCAGGUGAAAACAAUAUCAGGAACCAGGAACACAAGGAGCAUGACGAGGGGAAUAGACGGGGUACACCGGGUGAACCAGCAAGGAGCGUGAGCAGGAGAAAGGUUUAGAUACUGGUGAGCUAACAGGUUGCUGGUGUGAGGGGAGACAGAGAAACAGGAAGUGACACGGGGCAAGGGAAGGCACACUGGGGACUAGGAAAUGAAUCUGUCAUAAAAGAAUAACUGAACAUAACGAACAGCAAAACUAGGGUAACUAAGAGAGGACUAGACACAAGAAAUAAACAAUAAACUAAAAUCACAGUUUUUUGGAAUGGUGAACUUUUAUAAUGGUUUAAUUCCAGGGGAAGCUGACCUUAUAGACCCCCGGUACAAAGAGCAGCGUUUCUCAAUUUUGGUUCUCAGGCACCUUAAUAUUUUAUUUAGAUGUGUUUCUGUUCCAGAACACCUGAUUCAAAUGGUUGCAUAACAUCUUCUAUACUGCAGCAGCUUGUUAUUCACCCAUAUAUUUAUGUCAGGUGUG